rnacentral:rRNA from 1 species
GGCAGCAGUGGGGAAUCUUGCGCAAUGGGGGAAACCCUGACGCAGCGACGCCGCGUGGAGGAAGAAGGCCUUCGGGUUGUAAACUCCUUUUCUUAGGGAAAAUGAUGAUGGUACCUGAGGAAUAAGCCACGGCUAACUCUGUGCCAGCAGCCGCGGUAAGACAGAGGUGGCGAGCGUUGUUCGGAAUCACUGGGCUUAAAGGGCGUGUAGGCGGUGAGGCAAGUCUGAGGUGGAAUUCUAUGGCUUAACCAUAGAACUGCGUUGGAAACUGUUUCACUUGAGUCAGUGAGGGGAGGGCGGAAUUCCCGGUGUAGCGGUGAAAUGCAUAGAUAUCGGGAGGAAGGCCUGCGGCGAAGGCGGCCCUCUGGCGCUGAACUGACGCUGAGGCGCGAAAGCGUGGGGAGCAAACAGGAUUAGAUACCCGAGUAGUCCAAGCCG